AAACUCUUCAAGAUGUUGUGAAAUGUUUUCUUUUAAAUUCUAUCAUAUCACAGCCUUUUUGAUGAGUUCCG
rnacentral:pre_miRNA from 12 species